AGGAGACUUAAGUGUACAUUAUUAUAUCUUUUCGGAACUAUUCUCUGAUAGAGGAGCUGUAGGCAAGGCACUGUCAGGAAGGUAAUAAUAUUUACGUAUUUCCGGAAACAGAGCAGCCAUCUAUAAGGAGUGCGGCGGGAGAUACCUACAUUCGUGUGGUUCCUCAAACUGGGAUAUCUUCCAGAAAACAAGAUGUCUGGACUCCUUGUCCGCACCUGAUGACAAAAAUGAAUCGCCUAGUAACCUCCUUCAAUCUGCCUCAACUUUCAUCUGUCAACAACCAUCCAGAACUAGACUUCCACCAGUAGACAACCUGCUUCAACUUCCUUGAUGUUAAAGUCAACAAUGAUUUGAUUCGAACUGUUUUUCCUGGCCAACUAAGAGGCCAUAUGGGCCCAUAGUUCAACAUGUUUACAAGUUAUGCGUGUGUGUUUUGUAAGAAUGCAUGAUGCAUGUACAAUGCGAUAUUUUCAAUUGAGAAACAUUUGAGUUUGACAUGAGCAUGCAUGAGUAUUUGGAUAAGAUGUAAACGUCUUUGGAAUAUAUUUGUAUCUUAACUGAAGAUAGAGCUUACACACAAGAAUGAUAUUGAUUUUCUACAACAUUAAGAUUACAAUAUAUACAGUACAUAUGUUGUUAGACUCUUGAUAAAGGCCUUUAUACAUCAUUAAAUCAUAAUAACCUGCUCUGAAUUUAGCUAGCGAGCCUUUUUUAUUGUAACAUAAACUAUAUAUUCUGCGAGUAUUAAUUCAUGUUUGAAGAGAGAAUAGGUAUAUGUACAUUUGCUAUUUCUUAAUUUUUCUAUCCGAAUUUGCUGAAAACAAUCAUUAGCUCUUUGGAGUACCAAUGACAAACUUUUUGACAUUUCCAACACCCUGAUCCAUCCAUGUGUAUCCAAGCCCUAAACUGAAAAGGGUAAUUUUUUAUUGCGUGAGUGACUGGCCUAUUGAUCGAGGUAGACCAACAUGAUGUAGGCUUUACUGGGUAUCGCGUGGAUGGAAGAGUCGUUAGUUUUAACCAGAUAUUUAUACAGCGUUUAAGCGAAAAGAUAUACUGACACAUGCCCAAGUACAAUACCAUUUGGGAUGGAGGAUCGAACUUCAUUUAUGCAUUAAGACGAAUUAUUUAUAUACGACAAUAUUUUCCAUAAUCCUACACUCCAUAAAGUAAAAUUGACAUUAUAUUUAUAUAACAAAAAAUGAAAGUAUAAAUUACAGGGCAGAUUGUCAUAUUUUAACACAUUUUGCAGGAUUGACAUCAACAGAUGUUGAAUGUAGACAUUCAUUCCAACUCAAAGUCCUCGUAAACAAUAUUCCAAGGCGUGUUGGAAAGUGUUAAUGCUUACGUGAGAUCCACUCUUCCAGAAAGUAAAAAACCAGUGAUAGCACUAACGCAAUUCCCCG